AGAGUUGUUCUCAGCCCAGUGGAGCA
rnacentral:piRNA from 1 species